AAUCGUACCAUCAACUUGCUUGUCGUGCUGGAGUGGAUAGCAUAUAACGGACACUCUCGGCUUAUGCUCUAAGCCAAAGGUAGAUAUAUUUGGGUUUGGAUUCCCAAAGCACAUCCCAAUCAGGCUAUGCAAAAUGGAGCGGCCCACAAUUUCGUGGAGAUGGUCUUGCGCGCUCGUCAUCAACAGCACUAGGUCCAGUGGGCCAAUCAGGCUGAAUGGCAUCAUCCAGCUGUGACUGGGGUGUAGGAGUCGCCACCUGCUGUUGCGCCGACUCGAGCUAGUACUCGCAUGAGCUCGCUGGAAUUGCUAUGUGCAUCCACAAAGUCCGAAAGAACAAGCUGGAAAGGG